rnacentral:rRNA from 1 species
GGUUAACGCUGGCGGCGUGCCUAACACAUGCAAGUCGAACGGUUCUAAGCGCGAGCUUAGGAUAGUGGCGAACGGGUGAGUAAAAGGUAGGAAUCUACCCCUUGGACGGAGAUAGCUACUGGAAACGGUAGGUAAACUUCGAUAAGCCCGAGAGGGGAAAGUGGUGAGACAGCCGAGGGAUGAGCCUACUCUCCAUCAGGUAGUUGGUGAGAUAAAAGCUUACCAAGCCGAUGACGGAUAACCGGUGUGAGAGCAUGAACGGUCACAAGGGCACUGAGAGACGGGCCCUACUCCUACGGGAGGCAGCAGUGGGGAAUCUUGGACAAUGGGCGAAAGCCUGAUCCAGCGACGCCGCGUGGAGGAAGAAGUCCUUCGGGAUGUAAACUUCUGAACUAGCCGAAUAAAAGGCCUGUGGACACACAGGAGAAGAAAGUAGGCUAGGAAAAAGUCCCGGCUAACUACGUG